rnacentral:rRNA from 1 species
GAUGAACGCUGGCGGCGUGCCUAAUACAUGCAAGUCGAGCGAACGGACGAGAAGCUUGCUUCUCUGAUGUUAGCGGCGGACGGGUGAGUAACACGUGGAUAACCUACCUAUAAGACUGGGAUAACUUCGGGAAACCGGAGCUAAUACCGGGUAAUAUUUUGAACCGCAUGGUUCAAAAGUGAAAGACGGUCUUGCUGUCACUUAUAGAUGGAUCCGCGCUGCAUUAGCUAGUUGGUAAGGUAACGGCUUACCAAGGCAACGAUGCAUAGCCGACCUGAGAGGGUGAUCGGCCACACUGGAACUGAGACACGGUCCAGACUCCUACGGGAGGCAGCAGUAGGGAAUCUGCCGCAAUGGGCGAAAGCCUGACGGAGCAACGCCGCGUGAGUGAUGAAGGUCUUCGGAUCGUAAAACUCUGUUAUUAGGGAAGAACAUAUGUGUAAGUAACUGUGCACAUCUUGACGGUACCUAAUCAGAAAGCCACGGCUAACUACGUG